UGUGAAAAAGAAAAUUUAGCUCAGUGUAGAAGUAAACAAAUCGAAAAAGAGCGAAACUUAUAUUUUGUUGCUUUAUUCUGUGGAAAUCGAAUGAAAGUGAGAAAAUUUGCAUACGGUAUAAGGUUUAACCGACGGCUUAACAGUAAAUUCAUCGAUCUAUUAAACAUUGAUCAGAAUAUGUACGAUAAUUUCUUAAUAUGAAUUGAAACCAAAUUCAAAAUGUUCAUUGGUGUAUUGCUCUAUUUGCUGACAAUAUGCCCCCAACGCUAGAUAAUAAAAUGGAAACAAGUUCAUAUGAAGCACUGAAAAUGUUUACCGAUGCACAUCAUCGCAGAACAUACCCCAAGAUAGUAUCACACUCUCAACAGUAUCAUCGGAACGUGAACAGAAUCCCGAGUGCCAAGCAACGAUCGAAAGAAGCGCUGAAUCAAUUAACUACAAUCAACAAAUAAAAAACAGAUGAUCGAUAAUCCAGAUAGCAAGUAUGAGACUGCGCUCAAGACAUACACGACAAAAGCUUUGAGGAAUUUCAGUUUAAAUGAAAGCAAAACAUGGUAUACUGCAACCGGCUGAGUGUGUUGAUUCAGAUAAAAUUCCUUAUGCUCUGCUGGAACAAAUCGGUAGUUUUGAAAAUUUUGGAUUUGAGUUAGUGAGGAACAGACUCAGGUGGCUACAGUUAAAGACGAAAACGGUGUUAUCGAUCCAAGUGAUCCGCCACAGAAAUUUUGAAUAAGGAUUUCAGGCUAACUGAUGACGAUGUGCAGCUUCAUUAGGACGCAGAAGAUAUUUAUGCGUACUGAAUUAUUGUUAAUGAAUGCUAAUUAAUACAGACCAACCUGGAAUUCUUCAGGGCCAAGCUCUCCAACUCUCAAACGAUCAGAUUGAAUGAAUUUCAAGCAAAGAAAACAGUUACGUAACGAGAAAAAAAAUUUAUCUUCUGUUGAAGGUCGCACUCUUAUUUCUGCUCUCGUAUAGCGGACUAUAAUUUGAUUUAUGGUGAUAAAUUAAUCUACGAAAUAAUCUCUCGAUUAUUACGAAAUAAAAACUUACCCUGGUAUGAAA